UUCAGCUUUAAAUUUUAAAGGCAUAAGAUAAUACAAGUAUUCUUAGUAAAGUUAGUAAAUCUUUUACAGAAAAAGUUGAUAGAUUUUAUAAAAGCAGGCAGUUGAUAUGUUUGCAGGUUAGCUGACAGAUAAAAAAUGAGUCUUUUACAGACCCUAAGCAUAACGAUUAAAGUAAAAUGCAUUUAAAACAACUUUGAAUGAGCAAGUAACUAGAUACUAAACUUGAAGCCACCUGCAUUGUUGUCUUUUUCUCACUUGGCAUAUCAUUUGCAGAUUCCAAUUUUAAAUCUGCAACAGAUGUGACAACCACCCUUCUAUAAAUACUUCCAGCCGAUGGUGGAAAAAGUACUCAUUUUUCAUACUCAAGGUAAAGAUACCACAACCA